CCUACGGGUGGCAGCAGUGAGGAAUCUUGGUCAAUGGCCGGAAGGCUGAACCAGCAAAGCCGCGUGAGGGAGGAAGGCGCAGAGCGUCGCAGACCUCUUUUGCCGGGGGACAAAAGGCCGGACUCGUCCGGUCCUGAGGGUACCCGGAGAAAAAGCAUCGGCUAACACCGUGCCAGCAGCCGCGGUAAUACGGGGGAUGCGAGCUUUAUCCGGAUUCAUUGGGUUAAAGGGGUGCGCAGGCGGGCCUUUAAGCUGGCGGUGAAGUCGAGGGGCUCAACCCCGCCGAGCAGUCGGAACUGGGGGCCUUGAGUGCAGCGGAGGCAUGCGGAAUGCGCGGUGUAGCGGUGAAAUGCAUAGAUAUCGCGCAGAACCCCGAUGGCGAAGGCAGCGUGCCGUGCCGUCACUGACGCUGAGGCACGAAAGCGCGGGGAUCGAACAGGAUUAGAUACCCUAGUAGUC
rnacentral:rRNA from 1 species